rnacentral:rRNA from 1 species
CAGCAGCCGCGGUAAUACGUAGGGUGCGAGCGUUAAUCGGAAUUACUGGGCGUAAAGCGUGCGCAGGCGGUUUUGUAAGACAGGCGUGAAAUCCCCGGGCUCAACCUGGGAAUGGCGCUUGUGACUGCAAAGCUAGAGUGCGGCAGAGGGGGAUGGAAUUCCGCGUGUAGCAGUGAAAUGUGUAGAUAUGCGGAGGAACACCGAUGGCGAAGGCAAUCCCCUGGGCCUGCACUGACGCUCAUGCACGAAAGCGUGGGGAGCAAACGGGAUUAGAUACCCGUGUAGUCCCUGUCUCUUAUAA